rnacentral:lncRNA from 1 species
CACUCCUCUUACAAAAAGCUGGGGCGGGGUGAAUUUUCUCCUUGCGCACCUUGGCGCCCUCCUCUCAACACUUGGGCAAGCAAAGUUGGGCUAAGGGAGUUGAAGUUCGGCUGGAGGUAUGUCCGCCGAGUUCCCAAUAUUCGAAUAUUUGAGAACUCAAAUAUAGUCCAACGUAGAGCCAAGCCCAACAUCCAAAUAUCUGGAGUUCACAUACCAGCCAUCUUGGCGGAUGGUCGACAGAUGGUAAGCCAACUCUAGAAUUCUAAAAACUCAAGGGGCACAAGGUUCAACUAGAUGUCAAGAUGAAAUCACGGAGGUCAAUGCCCAAGCCACGGAUUCACGCCCAAAAUUUCCAUAGGUCAAUGUGCAUGUGAUGGAGGCCUCACAAGGAAACAAAUCAAGGAGAUUGAUGAUAGUUCAGCAUACUCCAAAACAUGAGAGAAUCAAGCAAUCAGAAUAUUUCCAUCAAUGU